rnacentral:rRNA from 1 species
GACGAACGCUGGCGGCGUGCCUAAUACAUGCAAGUCGAACGCACUCUCGUUUAGAUUGAAGGAGCUUGCUCCUGAUUGAUAAACAUUUGAGUGAGUGGCGGACGGGUGAGUAACACGUGGGUAACCUGCCCUAAAGUGGGGGAUAACAUUUGGAAACAGAUGCUAAUACCGCAUAAACCUAAACACCGCAUGGUGUAGGGUUGAAAGAUGGUUUCGGCUAUCACUUUAGGAUGGACCCGCGGUGCAUUAGUUAGUUGGUGAGGUAAAGGCUCACCAAGACCGUGAUGCAUAGCCGACCUGAGAGGGUAAUCGGCCACACUGGGACUGAGACACGGCCCAGACUCCUACGGGAGGCAGCAGUAGGGAAUCUUCCACAAUGGACGAAAGUCUGAUGGAGCAACGCCGCGUGAGUGAAGAAGGUUUUCGGAUCGUAAAACUCUGUUGUUGGAGAAGAAUGUAUCUGAUAGUAACUGAUCAGGUAGUGACGGUAUCCAACCAGAAAGCCACGG